rnacentral:rRNA from 1 species
GACAACGCUGGCGGCACGCCUAACACAUGCAAGUCGAACGGUGAAGAGGAGCUUGCUCCUCGGAUCAGUGGCGGACGGGUGAGUAACACGUGAGCAACCUGCCUUUCAGUGGGGGACAACAGUUGGAAACGACUGCUAAUACCGCAUAACGUGUUUGAGUGGCAUCACUUAGACACCAAAGGAGCAAUCCGCUGAAAGAUGAGCUCGCGUCCAAUUAGGUAGUUGGUGAGGUAACGGCCCACCAAGCCGACGAUUGGUAGCCGGACUGAGAGGUUGAACGGCCACAUUGGGACUGAGACACGGCCCAAACUCCUACGGGAGGCAGCAGUGGGGAAUAUUGCACAAUGGGGGAAACCCUGAUGCAGCGACGCCGCGUGAGUGAAGAAGUAUUUCGGUAUGUAAAGCUCUAUCAGCAGGGAAGAAAAUGACGGUACCUGACUAAGAAGCCCCGGCUAACUACGUG